rfam:Triticum aestivum genome assembly, contig: Triticum_aestivum_CS42_TGACv1_scaffold_193940_3AL
GUUAUACUCCCUCUGUUUCAAAUUACUCGUCGCAGAAAUGGAUGUAUCUAGAACGAAAAUACAUCUAGAUACAUCCAUGUCUGUGACAAGUAAUUCGGACCGGAGGGAGUAUUUA